UAAGACGAACCACACAAACGUUAUUCGGAAUUACUGGGCUUAAAGGGUGCGUAGGCUGUGCAGAAAGUUAGGUGUGAAAUCCCCCGGCUCAACCGGGGAAUUGCGCUUAAAACUACUGUGCUAGAGGAAGACAGAGGUGAGCGGAACUUCGGGUGGAGCGGUGAAAUGCGUUGAUAUCCGAAGGAACACCGGUGGCGAAAGCGGCUCACUGGGUCUUUUCUGACGCUGAUGCACGAAAGCUAGGGGAGCAAACGGGAUUAGAUACCCCGGUAGUCCUAGCCGUAAACGAUGAGCACUGGGUUGAAGGGCCCUCCAUAGCCUUUCAGCCGCAGCAAAAGUGUUAAGUGCUCCGCCUGGGGAGUAUGGUCGCAAGGCUG
rnacentral:rRNA from 1 species